rnacentral:rRNA from 1 species
GGGGGCCGCACAAGCGGAGGAACAUGUGGUUUAAUUCGAUGAUACGCGAGGAACCUUACCCGGGCUUGAAAUGCAUCUGACCGGCCUUGAAAGAGGCACUCCCUUCGGGGCAGAUGUGUAGGUGCUGCAUGGUUGUCGUCAGCUCGUGCCGUGAGGUGUCGGCUUAAGUGCCAUAACGAGCGCAACCCUCAUCAUUAGUUACCAUCAGGUAAGGCUGGGGACUCUAAUGAGACUGCCAUCGUAAGAUGUGAGGAAGGUGGGGAUGACGUCAAAUCAGCACGGCCCUUACGUCCAGGGCUACACACGUGCUACAAUGGCCGGUACAAAGGGCAGCUACCUGGUGACAGGAUGCUAAUCUCAAAAGCCGGUCUCAGUUCGGAUCGGAGUCUGCAACCCGACUCCGUGAAGCUGGAAUCGCUAGUAAUCGUGGAUCAGCCAAGCCGCGGUGAAUACGUUCCCGGGCCUU